rnacentral:lncRNA from 1 species
GAUAAUGUGCGAUGAAUGCCUGAGUCGCGUGUGAGCCAUGCCUGGGUCAUGUGUCAGCCCCGCAUCAGAAAAGUGCCAGCCACACCUGAGUCACCUGUCACCCACAUCUGAAGCACAUCUCAGGCAUGUCUGAGCCAUGUGUCAACUGCGAAACAUGAAGUGUCAGCCACACAGCAAUCACGUGUCACUGUGGCCUGAAUGAAGCAUCACAUAACUCUGGAACCCAUGUCUGACACACCUGAAUCCCAUGCCUGAAACACAUGUCAGCAAUGCCUGAGCAUCGUGUCAGACAUGCCUGAGCCACGUGCCAACCAUGCCAGAGCCACGCCCCAGCCAUGCAUGAGCCUCACCUGAGACGUGUGUUAGCCUUGUGUGACAAACUCCUGAAUCAUGUGUCAGCCACACUUGGCCCCGGUCUGAGGCUCGCUUGAACUCCAUGUGAGCCAUGGCUGAGCCAUGCCUGCACCACGUGUGAGCCAUGCCUGAAUCACGGCUCAAACACUCCUCAAGCAUAUGAGACACGCACAUGAGUCAUGUGUGAGCCACACAUGAGUUACACCUGAACCAUUUGGGAGCCACUCCUGAACCAUGAGUGAACCACAUGAGACACACUUGAACCACAUGUGAAACACGUGUGAAGCACACAUGUUCAAGGUUUGAACCACAUGUGUACCACAGGGGAGCCACUAGUGAAACAUGGCUGGGCCAUGCGUGAGCCACGUGCCAGCCACGUCCAAGUACGCAGGAGACAUUUGUCAGCAGUGAGUGAGUCACAUGUGUGCUACACGUGAAUGACAUGUAACCCAUGCAUGAAACACAUGUUGGCCGGGCACAGAUAAUGGGUGAUGAAUGCCUGAGUCACGUGUCAGCCAUGCCUCCAUCAUGUGUCAGCCACACCUGAAACACCUGGCACCCAUGCGUGAACCACGCACCAGCCACCCCAGAGACACGUGAGGGCCGCGCAUGAAGCAGGUGCGAGCCACAGCUGCAUGAUGUGACAGGCACGCCUGUGUCAUGUGGCUGCCUCACCUUAGUCAUGACUCAGCCAUGUCUGAAAAACGUGUGAGCUACACCUGAGUCUCAUCUCAGCCAUUCCGAAGCCACAUGCCAGCCAUGACUGAACCAUGUGCCAGUCCCAAUCUAACCACAUACCAGCCUCACUUGAAACACGUGUCAGACACGCUGGAGCCACCUGCCUGCCAUGCCUAAACCACGUGCCAACCAUGCCACAACCAAGUGUGAGCCGCGCCUCAGCAACACUACAGCCAUGCAUGAGCCACACUUCAGCCGUGUGUGAGCCAUGUGUGACAAACACCUGAAUCAUGCGUCAGCCACAUGUGACCCAGGUCUGUGUCAUGCCUGCAUCACAUGUGAGCCUUGGAUGAGUCGCUCCUGAACCAUGUGUGUGCCAUGUGUAAAUCAUGUGUGAAAGUCUCCUGUAGCAUUUGUGACGCUCACAAAUCAUGUGUGAGCCAUGCCUGAAUUACAUCUGAACCGUGUGUCAGCCACAACUGAACCAUGCCUGAACCACAUGUGAGGACCCCUUGAACCACAUCUGAAGCACAUGGGACGCACCCAUGUUCAAUGCUUGAACCAAACAUGAACCUCAGGUGAGCCAAACAUGAAACACGGCUGAGGCAUGCAUGAGCCACAUGCCAGCCAUGACUGAGUAUGUGGGGACCAUGUUUGAGCAACGUGGGAGCCACAGCUGUACGACAUGUCCCAUGUGUGACCACAUGCCUGCCACGCAUGGAUAAUGUGCCAUGAAUGCCUGAGUCAAGUGAGAGCAAUGCCUGCACCAUGUGUCAGCCCUGCAUCAGUAAAGUGCCAGCCACAGCUGAAUCACCUGUCACCCACAUCUGAACCACAUGUCAGCCACGCCUGAGCCAUGUGUCAACUGCGACACACUGAGUGUCAUCCCCAUAGCAAUGACAUGUCACUGGGGCCUCAACGAAGCACCACACAGUACUGGAAUCCAUGUCCGAAACACCUGAAUCCCAUGCCUGAAACACAUGUGAGCACCACCU